rnacentral:rRNA from 1 species
CGCACGGGUGAGUAACGCGUAUGCAACCGUACCUAUCAGAGGAGAAUAACCGGCGAAAGUCGGACUAAUACCGCAUAAAACAGGGGCACCGCAUGGUGAUAUUUGUUAAAGAAAUUCGCUGAUAGAUGGGCAUGCGUUCCAUUAGGGUAGUUGGUGAGGUAACGGCUCACCAAGCCGACGAUGGAUAGGGGAACUGAGAGGUUGGUCCCCCACACUGGUACUGAGACACGGACCAGACUCCUACGGGAGGCAGCAGUGAGGAAUAUUGGUCAAUGGGCGGGAGCCUGAACCAGCCAAGUCGCGUGAAGGAAGAAGGAUCUAUGGUUCGUAAACUUCUUUUGCAGGGGAAUAAAGUGCAGGACGUGUCCUGUUUUGUAUGUACCCUGAGAAUAAGGAUCGGCUAACUCCGUGCCAGCCGCCGC